CACAAGGCAUUCUUAGGCACUUCCUGGCUUCAUCUCCCAUCACGUCCCAGACACCUGAUGAAGCCACGUUUCCAGUUGGAUCAGCAGGGUCGAGAAUUACUGGUCUGAAAGAUAAACCAUUCCAACAAAGACCUCGUUUAACCUGGACGCCUACGGAGCCAACCACACUGAAGUACAGCAAAUGGCUUCCUCAAUUCCAAGCUCUUUUCCCUCAUGUCACUGGCCGUGCUGGAAGUGAGUUUUAUCUAAAACCCUGCAACGUGAGGACACCAAGGACCAGGGUUGUUUGAUGGUGUGAUUUACGAUGGGUUUCACUACCUCAGAAACCAAUUCCUGUGUUGGAAUUCUGGGCAACGAUCUGUAUCUCUGCAAAUAUUAACCAGUAUUUUCCUAUGUGUCUUGUGAAGAGGAAAUGCAAUUUGAGUAGGAAUAAAAUCUGAGGGAUAAGUGACAAACUUGUUGUUACCAAGAAGUAACAUGAGAGUGAAUAACAUACGGAGAAUUCCAUAAACUGGAGGGGGUCGGGGUUGCUGUUUCUCUCUGAACUGACUUCCAUGGAUUUUCUUUGUUUAACGGUUAUCUGGAGAAGAAAAAUCUCAGAGUUGUAUACUGCAUACGUCCAUUAAAAAAUGACCCUUUCAACCUUGCAACACACACAAAAUGCUGGAGGAUCUCAGCAGGCCAGGCAGCAUCCACAGAAAAGAGUCCUGUGACAUGUUGGGCCGAGACCCUUCAGCAGGACUGGAGAAAGAAAGAUGAGGAGUAGAGUUAAAAGGUGGGGGGAGCGGAGGGAGAAACACAAGGUGAUCGGUAAAACCAGGAGAGGGGAGGGUGAAGGAUCGCAGCUGGGAAGUUGAUUGGUGAAAGACUUACCGGGCUGCAGAGGGGGGAAUUAAUAGGAGAGUACAGCAGGCCGUGGAAGAGAGAAAAGAGGAGAGGAGCACCAGAGGGAGUUGAUUGCUAGACAAGGAGAAAGGCCGAGAGAGGGAAAAGGGGAUGCGGAAUGGCGAAAGGCGGGGGGCCAUUACCAUAAGUUCAAGAAAUUGAUGUUCAUUCCAUCAGGUUGAAGGCUACCCAGACAGAAUAUAAGGUGUUGUUCCUCCAACCUGAGUAUGGCCUCAUUGCAACAGUAGAGGAGGUCACGGAUAGACAUAUCAGAAUGGGAAUGGGAAGUGGAAUUAAAAUGGAUGGCCACUGGGUUGUCCUGCUUUUACUGGCUGAAGGAGUUUAGCCGUUCGGCAAAGCAAUCUUGAAGCUUUUUAGGUGACUGAAAGGAUUACCACUGGUGGAAAAGGAAUGGAGAGGGGACUGGCCCCCUGGCUAGGAGAGGUUGUAGAUGCAGGGUGUGGUGAGGUAAUGGAGGGUAGGUUGUGGCUGGUGAGAACUGAAAAUGAGGGAGAAGGUUUGGAAUUUCAUCACUUCAGGUGAGACAAUGCAGGUUACUUUAGAAUUAGGAACAUUUAGAAGUGCAUUGAAUCAUCUUUAUAUUAUGAUAAGAUUAUUUUUCCCUGUGUUAGACCUGUCUGUACAGGAAUUUGAAACGGAACAUUAACUAAAAUAAAAAAA